UGGGGAAUAUUGCACAAUGGGCGCAAGCCUGAUGCAGCCAUGCCGCGUGUGUGAAGAAGGCCUUCGGGUUGUAAAGCACUUUCAGCGGGGAGGAAGGCGAUAAGGUUAAUAACCUUGUCGAUUGACGUUACCUGCAGAAGAAGCACCGGCUAACUCCGUGCCAGCAGCCGCGGUAAUACGGAGGGUGCAAGCGUUAAUCGGAAUUACUGGGCGUAAAGCGCACGCAGGCGGUCUGUCAAGUCGGAUGUGAAAUCCCCGGGCUCAACCUGGGAACUGCAUUCGAAACUGGCAGGCUAGAGUCUUGUAGGGGGGGGUAGAAUUCCAGGUGUAGCGGUGAAAUGCGUAGAGAUCUGGAGGAAUACCGGUGGCGAAGGCGGCCCCCUGGACAAAGACUGACGCUCAGGUGCGAAAGCGUGGGGAGCAAACAGG
rnacentral:rRNA from 1 species